AACUAACGCUGGCGGCGUGCCUAACACAUGCAAGUCGUACGAGAAAGUUGGCUUCGGCCGAUGAGUACAGUGGCGCACGGGUGAGUAACGCGUGGAUAAUCUGCCCUUAAGUGUGGAAUAACGUACCGAAAGGUGCGCUAAUACCGCAUAAUGCCUGGCAACAUAAGUUGUCCGGCCAAAGAAGGCCUCUGCUUGCAAGCUUUCGCUAAAGGAUGAGUCCGCGUACCAUUAGCUAGUUGGUGGGGUAACGGCCUACCAAGGCGACGAUGGUUAGCUGGUCUGAGAGGAUGAUCAGCCACACUGGAACUGAGACACGGUCCAGACUCCUACGGGAGGCAGCAGUGAGGAAUAUUGCGCAAUGGGGGCAACCCUGACGCAGCAACGCCGCGUGAGUGAGGAAGGUUUUCGGAUUGUAAAGCUCUGUCGAGCGGGAAGAAGUGUACCAUGGCUAAUAUCCAUGAUAUUUGACGGUACCG
rnacentral:rRNA from 1 species